UACGAAGGGGGCUAGCGUUGUUCGGAAUUACUGGGCGUAAAGCGCGCGCAGGCGGUCUUCCAAGUCAGUGGUGAAAGCCCGGAGCUCAACUCCGGAACUGCCAUUGAAACUGUGAGACUUGAGGAUGAGAGAGGUGAGUGGAAUUCCCAGUGUAGAGGUGAAAUUCGUAGAUAUUGGGAAGAACACCCGUGGCGAAGGCGGCUCUCUGGGACGGUACUGACGCUGAGACGCGAAAGCGUGGGGAGCGAACAGG
rnacentral:rRNA from 1 species